rnacentral:rRNA from 1 species
UACGUAGGUGGCAAGCGUUAUCCGGAUUUACUGGGUGUAAGGGGAACGCAGGCGGUCUUUUAAGUCUGAUGUGAAAGCCUUCGGCUUAACCGGAGUAGUGCAUUGGAAACUGGGAGACUUGAGUGCAGAAGAGGAGAGUGGAACUCCAUGUGUAGCGGUGAAAUGCGUAGAUAUAUGGAAGAACACCAGUGGCGAAAGCGGCUCUCUGGUCUGUAACUGACGCUGAGGUUCGAAAGCGUGGGUAGCAAACAGG